rnacentral:lncRNA from 1 species
UAUAUCAUGGCUGCCACUCUAACAGCUUCAUAAUCUAUCUAUACUUAUUUUGUUUGUGGGCCUGCUUCUAUACCAUGCAAACAGAGGAUGCUCUUUUCGUCUACAUGGAUUCUUGAUUUCAUUUGUUUUGAUCUUUUGCAAAAGCAUAAUAUAAAUUGAUGCCCAUAGAUGGUUGUGCAAUUACGCGCCUCGCUUCUCUUCUUAGUAAACUUUAGGUGUCUCUCAUUACAGGUACUGUUCUUGCUGUGAUAGUACUCCUUCACUACACAUUGCAAGCAUAUAUACUUUGCAUAAACAUCAGAAUAUAUAUCGUCUAACAAACUUUACGUGAAAAAAUCCUGCUGAUGAGUUGAUUUUCUUAAUACACUAUCUUUUUUCUUUUUGAAACACUUUUUGGCGCUAGAAGGAGAGCAUUUACGUAAAUCUAGUUGGGGGCAUUUUAAUGAACUUUGAGCUAAUUUGAGGAUAUUUUACUAAAGAAAAUCAAAUUUUAGACGGGAGCACCGAGCACGUGACCCCGUUCGACGUCUACGUCCGCCCCUGG